CUGAUUUCAACGCAUGUUAACUAGAAAUGUUGACACAUGUUACCUCGUGAUUUGUAAUGUAUGUGUAAUAUAAAUGCUACAUUACGCUUCAGAGGUACGGUGUUGGCAUACAAAUGCUUGAAUGGCUACGCUUCUGAAUAUUUAAUGGAAAGGUUCAUUGCAAGAUCUAGAUUGCAAAUAGAUGAACGCGUCACAAGAAACAAGGAAAUGGGAUACUCUGAAUGUACCUUUUUAUCGAACAGCGACAGGUCAACGCUCGUUUUUGUUCAGAGCAGUAAAGUUGUCAGUUGUGGAAUGACUUGCCUGGCAAUGCUAAAUCUGGGAACAAUUUGAGGAACGUUUAAAAAUAGCAUUAAAAACAUC